rnacentral:lncRNA from 1 species
GCUGUGCCUCUCCGAUAAAAUGUGACAUAGUGGGAUAGCUCGAGUCGACUGCAAAGUUGGAGUAGGUAGACAUCCACGAAGACUAGGCAUCUACAAAGAAAAUCCACACAUGUUAGAGAAGAUGGUGGGGGGUUCUCUAGUAGGGGACCUUUCGAUGGUUAAGUCAGAGAGUAUCGAAGAGGGAGAACAGUCAAAGAAGAUAGUAAGCACAAUAGUCUAGACUAAAGUCUCCCUUUUUCC